rnacentral:rRNA from 1 species
AGUUCGGAUCGCAGGCUGCAACCCGCCUGCGUGAAGUUGGAAUCGCUAGUAAUCGCGGAUCAGCAUGCCGCGGUGAAUACGUUCCCGGGCCUUGUACACACCGCCCGUCACACCAUGAGAGUCGGGAACACCCGAAGUCCGUAGCCUGACCGCAAGGGGGCGCGGCCGAAGGUGGGUUCGAUAAUUGAGGUGAAGUCGUAACAAGGUAGC